rnacentral:rRNA from 1 species
AGAGUUUGAUCCUGGCUCAGAACGAACGCUGGCGGCGUGGAUAAGACAUGCAAGUCGAACGAGAGAAUUGCUAGCUUGCUAAUAAUUCUCUAGUGGCGCACGGGUGAGUAACACGUGAGUAACCUGCCCCCGAGAGCGGGAUAGCCCUGGGAAACUGGGAUUAAUACCGCAUAGUAUCGAAAGAUUAAAGCAGCAAUGCGCUUGGGGAUGGGCUCGCGGCCUAUUAGUUAGUUGGUGAGGUAACGGCUCACCAAGGCGAUGACGGGUAGCCGGUCUGAGAGGAUGUCCGGCCACACUGGAACUGAGACACGGUCCAGACACCUACGGGUGGCAGCAGUCGAGAAUCAUUCACAAUGGGGGAAACCCUGAUGGUGCGACGCCGCGUGGGGGAAUGAAGGUCUUCGGAUUGUAAACCCCUGUCAUGUGGGAGCAAAUUAAAAAGAUAGUACCACAAGAGGAAGAGACGGCUAACUCUGUGCCAGCAGCCGCGGUAAUACAGAGGUCUCAAGCGUUGUUCGGAAUCACUGGGCGUAAAGCGUGCGUAGGCUGUUUCGUAAGUCGUGUGUGAAAGGCGCGGGCUCAACCCGCGGACGGCACAUGAUACUGCGAGACUAGAGUAAUGGAGGGGGAACCGGAAUUCUCGGUGUAGCAGUGAAAUGCGUAGAUAUCGAGAGGAACACUCGUGGCGAAGGCGGGUUCCUGGACAUUAACUGACGCUGAGGCACGAAGGCCAGGGGAGCGAAAGGGAUUAGAUACCCCUGUAGUCCUGGCAGUAAACGGUGCACGCUUGGUGUGCGGGGAAUCGACCCCCUGCGUGCCGGAGCUAACGCGUUAAGCGUGCCGCCUGGGGAGUACGGUCGCAAGAUUAAAACUCAAAGAAAUUGACGGGGACCCGCACAAGCGGUGGAGUAUGUGGCUUAAUUCGAUGCAACGCGAAGAACCUUACCUGGGCUUGACAUGUAAUGAACAACAUGUGAAAGCAUGCGACUCUUCGGAGGCGUUACACAGGUGCUGCAUGGCCGUCGUCAGCUCGUGUCGUGAGAUGUUUGGUUAAGUCCAGCAACGAGCGCAACCCCUGUUGCCAGUUACCAGCACGUGAAGGUGGGGACUCUGGCGAGACUGCCCAGAUCAACUGGGAGGAAGGUGGGGACGACGUCAGGUCAGUAUGGCCCUUAUGCCCAGGGCUGCACACGUACUACAAUGCCCAGUACAGAGGGGGCCGAAGCCGCGAGGCGGAGGAAAUCCUAAAAACUGGGCCCAGUUCGGACUGUAGGCUGCAACCCGCCUACACGAAGCCGGAAUCGCUAGUAAUGGCGCAUCAGCUACGGCGCCGUGAAUACGAACCCGGGCCUUGCACUCACCGCCCGUCA